rnacentral:rRNA from 1 species
GAUGAACGCUGGCGGCGUGCCUAAUACAUGCAAGUCGAGCGAACGGACGAGAAGCUUGCUUCUCUGAUGUUAGCGGCGGACGGGUGAGUAACACGUGGAUAACCUACCUAUAAGACUGGGAUAACUUCGGGAAACCGGAGCUAAUACCGGAUAAUAUUUUGAACCGCAUGGUUCAAAAGUGAAAGACGGUCUUGCUGUCACUUAUAGAUGGAUCCGCGCUGCAUUAGCUAGUUGGUAAGGUAACGGCUUACCAAGGCAACGAUGCAUAGCCGACCUGAGAGGGUGAUCGGCCACACGGGAAGUGAGACAGGGUCCAGACUACUAAGGGACGCAGCAGUAGGGAAUCUUCCGCAAUGGGCGAAAGCCUGACGGAGCAACGCCGCGUGAGUGAUGAAGGUCUUCGGAUCGUAAAACUCUGUUAUUAGGGAAGAACAUAUGUGUAAGUAACUGUGCACAUCUUGACGGUACCUAAUCAGAAAGCCACGGCUAACUACGUG